AGAGUUUGAUCCUGGCUCAGAACGAACGCUGGCGGCGUGCUUAACACAUGCAAGUCGAGUGCGCGUUUCUGUAGCAAUACAGGAAUGGCGCACGGCGCACGGGUGCGUAACACGUGGGUAAUCUGCCCUCCGAUGGGGAAUAACCCCGCGAAAGCGGGGCUAAUACCGCAUAACAUUCCUUGGACUCCGGUUCGAGGAUUCAAAGGCGUAAGUCGUCGGAGGUGGAGCCCGCGCCCGAUUAGCUAGUUGGUGAGGUAACGGCUCACCAAGGCUUUGAUCGGUAGCUGGUCUGAGAGGAUGGCCAGCCACACUGGAACUGAGACACGGUCCAGACUCCUACGGGAGGCAGCAGUGGGGAAUCUUGCGCAAUGGGCGAAAGCCUGACGCAGCGACGCCGCGUGGGGGAUGAAGCUUCUCGGAGCGUAAACCCCUUUCGACUGGGACGAAUGCCCGCAAGGGAGUGACGGUACCAGUAGAAGAAGCCCCGGCUAACUACGUGCCAGCAGCCGCGGUAAGACGUAGGGGGCCAGCGUUGUUCGGAAUUACUGGGUGUAAAGGGUUCGUAGGCGGUGUGGCAAGUCGGGAGUGAAAUCUUUGGGCUUAACCCAAAGGCUGCUUCCGAAACUGCUGUGCUGGAGUGUGGGAGAGGCGCGUGGAAUUGCAGGUGUAGCGGUGAAAUGCGUAGAUAUCUGCAGGAACACCCGUGGCGAAAGCGCCGCGCUGGACCACUACUGACGCUGAGGAACGAAAGCUAGGGGAGCAAACAGGAUUAGAUACCCUGGUAGUCCUAGCCCUAAACGAUCAGGACUUGGGGUGCCACCCGUUCGGGUGUCGUCCCGGAGCUAACGCGUUAAGUCCUGCACCUGGGGAGUACGGUCGCAGACUGAACUCAAGGAUUGACGGGGCCCGCACAGCGGUGGAACAUGUGUUCAUUUCGACGCUACGCGAGGAACCUUACCUGGGCUCG
rnacentral:rRNA from 1 species